GUGAAUCAUCGAAUCUUUGAACGCACAUUGCGCCCUUUGGUAUUCCUUAGGGCAUGCCUGUUCGAGCGUCAUUUACACCCUCAAGCGUAGCUUGGUGUUGGGCGUCUGUCCCCUGGGACUCGCCUCAAAAAGAUUGGCAGCCACUUCAGCGGCUUUGAGCGCAGCAGAAUUGCGUCCUCUAGCAAGCGGAAGGCGGCAUCCACAAGCUUUCUUCUAUUUUGACCUCGGAUCAGGUAGGGAUACCCGCUGAACUUAAGCAUAUCAAUAAGCGGAGGA
rnacentral:misc_RNA from 1 species